rnacentral:rRNA from 1 species
AACGAACGCUGGCGGCGUGGAUAAGACAUGCAAGUCGAACGAGAGAAUUGCUAGCUUGCUAAUAAUUCUCUAGUGGCGCACGGGUGAGUAACACGUGAGUAACCUGCCCCCGAGAGCGGGAUAGCCCUGGGAAACUGGGAUUAAUACCGCAUAGUAUCGAAAGAUUAAAGCAGCAAUGCGCUUGGGGAUGGGCUCGCGGCCUAUUAGUUAGUUGGUGAGGUAACGGCUCACCAAGGCGAUGACGGGUAGCCGGUCUGAGAGGAUGUCCGGCCACACUGGAACUGAGACACGGUCCAGACACCUACGGGUGGCAGCAGUCGAGAAUCAUUCACAAUGGGGGAAACCCUGAUGGUGUGACGCCGCGUGGGGGAAUGAAGGUCUUCGGAUUGUAAACCCCUGUCAUGUGGGAGCAAAUUAAAAAGAUAGUACCACAAGAGGAAGAGACGGCUAACUCUGUGCCAGCAGCCGCGGUAAUACAGAGGUCUCAAGCGUUGUUCGGAAUCACUGGGCGUAAAGCGUGCGUAGGCUGUUUCGUAAGUCGUGUGUGAAAGGCGCGGGCUCAACCCGCGGACGGCACAUGAUACUGCGAGACUAGAGUAAUGGAGGGGGAACCGGAAUUCUCGGUGUAGCAGUGAAAUGCGUAGAUAUCGAGAGGAACACUCGUGGCGAAGGCGGGUUCCUGGACAUUAACUGACGCUGAGGCACGAAGGCCAGGGGAGCGAAAGGGAUUAGAUACCCCUGUAGUCCUGGCAGUAAACGGUGCACGCUUGGUGUGCGGGGAAUCGACCCCCUGCGUGCCGGAGCUAACGCGUUAAGCGUGCCGCCUGGGGAGUACGGUCGCAAGAUUAAAACUCAAAGAAAUUGACGGGGACCCGCACAAGCGGUGGAGUAUGUGGCUUAAUUCGAUGCAACGCGAAGAACCUUACCUGGGCUUGACAUGUAAUGAACAACAUGUGAAAGCAUGCGACUCUUCGGAGGCGUUACACAGGUGCUGCAUGGCCGUCGUCAGCUCGUGUCGUGAGAUGUUUGGUUAAGUCCAGCAACGAGCGCAACCCCUGUUGCCAGUUACCAGCACGUGAAGGUGGGGACUCUGGCGAGACUGCCCAGAUCAACUGGGAGGAAGGUGGGGACGACGUCAGGUCAGUAUGGCCCUUAUGCCCAGGGCUGCACACGUACUACAAUGCCCAGUACAGAGGGGGCCGAAGCCGCGAGGCGGAGGAAAUCCUGAAAACUGGGCCCAGUUCGGACUGUAGGCUGCAACCCGCCUACACGAAGCCGGAAUCGCUAGUAAUGGCGCAUCAGCUACGGCGCCGUGAAAUACGUUCCCGGGUCU